GCGGUGACGGAAUUCGGUACUACAGCACAACGUUACAUAACACGUUCAGCGUAGGAGUAUGGCGACUCAAUACCUUGUUCAGGUGGCGUUGUAGACCGGAGACGUGGGUAUCAUCGGACGUCCUUGCUCAAGGUCGGUCACUGCAUACCGUGAAGUAAAAGGACGGGUUCUCUUGUCACGUCGAGACUACACGGGGACUAGGAAGAUAUGGAUACCGGGUGUAAAAAAAAGAUGUGUAUGCACAUUCAGUUAAUAAAAUAAAAACAUUAAUAAACUAAAG